rnacentral:piRNA from 1 species
UUAUUUGACUUUGCACUCUAUUUUAG